ACAUUCCCACACAAACUUUAAGUCUUGAUACGGGUUUAGACACAAUCAGGCCAUCAGGUGCCUACAUCGGUCAGGUUGGAACCUGGUGUCUUAGGUUGCUUGGGUUGUGAUCAGGAGCUCGGAAAUUUGUUUAGUUCUUCAAGAAAGAGGAUUGGAACUAAUCUUGGAAGAUUUGGGAGGAACAUCCAUCAGAAGUUGAUGUGUGGGUUUUUCACCAAGGAAGGAAGGACAAUGCCUCUGUACAAAAUCUUCAAAUCAUCCUGAAUUGGUACUGUUCUAUCUUGGGUCAGUCUAUCAAUCUUGCCAAAUCUGAUGUGUUUUACUCACCCAACAUGCCUUUGGAGGAACAACAAGCCCUUGCUAGAACCCUUCAGGUUAAUUUGGUUCAACAACCCAGUGCAGAGAAGCAAUCUCAAACAGGAACCGUUCAGGAGGCAGGGAGGGCAGUGGCAUCAGAUCAGGAAGGGAGAGUGCAUCAGAUCAGAGCAGAACAGGGAGGCAGAGUGUAGCAGGGGAUUGACAGAUAAUUAUCAAGAUUGUAAAUAGUAGAAGCAGAAAGUUUCAUAGAUAUGGUACUGUUUAUGAGGGUCUAACAGUUCAAGGGGGGGAAGGUGUUUUUUGGAGCUAUUAGUAGUAAUGCUCAGACGUCAAGCAUAGCCUCCUGCAGUGCUGACAGCAAAGAGUCAAGGAUUUCAGCAGAUUUUGGUUCUUAGCAAUAGCAGAAGCCUUAUGCAGACUUAUAGGCACAACACAGCUGUUGAUUAGUUAGAUAGUACUAGGCUAAGUGAUCUAAGGUUUUUAAACCAAAAUGGUAUUUGCUGUGAUGUCUUUUGGGUUCCCACUGUGAUUGUAAAGGACUUGAGAGCUGUAGCUUGCUUGGCAACUCGUGUGCCAAUGCAUUUUUGUUGGUUUUCUGCAGCUGGUCCUACUCUUUUGUAAUAUAACUGUUGUAAUAUUUUCUCCCUUGAAAGGUAUGGAAAAAGGAUUUUGAAAUACUAA